UUCUCUCUCUCUCUCUCUCUCUCUCUCUCUGUGUGUGUGUGUGUGUGAGAGAGAGAGAGAGAGAGAGAGAGAGAGAG